rnacentral:lncRNA from 1 species
CCCCCUUUUACUUUAUAGGAUUAUAACAACUAUUGACCAAUAAAUAUAUUGGCUUUAGAAAACCUGAGGACAUCGGUGAUCAAACUCUUUCUAAUAUUUUUUAAUUUUCUAUCUACAUAAGCAACCAUAUAUCAUUAAUUGAUCUUACCCUCAUCCAUGCCAUACAACCAAGCCCCUCACCGGUAAAAAAAGAAAUUAAAAGGAAAAUUAAAGAAGGCAAAAAGCCCCUUGAAAAUUGGCUUUUGCACGUGGGUGUCCAAUGACAGCUGAGUAACUUGUCACUAUCAUCACAAUCACAGUGUGCCAGUGCUUGCGCCACGCCAUGAGACAUAGACAAAGCUGGCCAUUUCGCCGAGAUAUUCAGAAUGCUCCCACCCAUUCUUUGCAGUGCAAAUGUGAUGACUGUGUCACCAUGCUUCCGUCCCCCAUACCACUUUACACAUACUGAAUUGCAGCCCUUCUCUUUGCACCAAUCCCUUUAAGGAGGAUAACAAUUGUGCAGAGAGAGAAGAGAGAGAGAGAGAGAGAGAGAGAGAGAUGGCAUUGCCUUUGCUAUUACCAGCUAGUAGGGGUUGAUGCAGCAUUCCCUAAACUCUGUACGCUUUCAAAUCACGUUCUAACUUGCAAAAACAACACCGAAGGCCAUUUUUGGAAAAAUCUCUUCCCAAGAAAUAAAUUUUUUUUUUUUCCACAAGCCAGACAUGGAGUAUUUCUGAGAAAAUAUCAAAUAUAAAACCCCAAAGCAAGAACUAGGAUUCUUCUUUCAGUUUCGCCAAUAACAUUACCUCAAAAAAAAAAAAAGGGAGGGGGGGGGGGGCGAACUCAACAAAGAUAAACUCUAAUUUUAUGUCAAUAACUUGAAGUAAAGAAAAUUUGGAAACAACACAACCAUUACUAUAUGGCCUGAUAAAAUGGUUGUACUACUACACUAUAAAUCUAAAACACCAAGAGAUCCUCUCUUUUUUCAUUGAUGUUGAAACUAAAGAUAUUACUAGAACACAAAAUCAUUAAUUGUCUCUUUCGGUACUGGAUCCAUAAAAGUCAAUCAGACCCUUCAAUACAAGAACUUGGGUCCUCAAGAGGACAAUAUAAUCAGCAGUUUCUUGAAACAACUGGUCAGCUUUUACCUCUCCGUUACGGGUAGCUGGAAUGAGGUUCUUGAGAGCCUCCAUCUUGUCCGAUACCUUGUUGGGGCUUGUCACGAACCCACCACUGCAAAUGCUUCUUUGAGCUCUGCAAGAACGUCCAUGUGGUCUUCUUCUUCUCUUCUUCUUCUUUCCGUUCUUCCUAGUGAAACCUUGGACUUUUUUAGCGUUGAACUCAUGGUAAGAGAGAGCUGUUUGGCUGAAAGAGAGAGAGAGAGAGGGAGAAGGAUAUAGAGUUUUCCUUCUUGAUAGUAGGAGAGAAUUUGAGUCAGCCUCGUGGUAUUAAGUAGUGGAGUGAUUGCACAUGGCAACUGGUUUUGUUGGUUAACUACAGAUGUACC